AUAAUAAAUAAGAUUUAAAAUGACUUAAUCAAGUGAACAUGCAUUGAUGUUUUGGUAUCUUUGAUAUACAUUAUAAGAAAAUGUACCAUAAAUACUGAAAUUCAGCUCGAAAAAGUUCGUACGUGUUAUGACCUGAGAUUUGAUUCUUCAAUGCAGGUCAUGACCUGCAUUUUCAUCGUCACAGGUUGACAGGUAUGACAUA
rnacentral:lncRNA from 1 species